rnacentral:rRNA from 1 species
AUUGAACGCUGGCGGCAGGCCUAACACAUGCAAGUCGAACGAGUGGCGGACGGGUGAGUAAUGUCUGGGAAACUGCCUGAUGGAAGGGGAUAACUACUGGAAACGGUAGCUAAUACCGCAUACCAUCAGAUGUGCCCCGAUGGGAUGAGCUUGUUGGUGGGGUAACGGCUCACCAAGGCGACGAUCCCUAGCUGGUCUGAGAGGAUGACCAGCCACACUGGAACGGAGACACGGCCCAGACUCCUACGGGAGGCAGCAGUGGGGAAUAUUGCACAAGGGGCGCAAGCCUGAUGCAGCCAUGCCGCGUGUAUGAAGAAGGCCUUAGGGUUGUAAAGUACUUUCAGCGGGGAGGCGUUACCCGCAGAAGAAGCACCGGCUAACUCCGUGCCAGCAGCCGCGGUAAUUC